rnacentral:rRNA from 1 species
UACAACAUAGCGUUAAUGCACCAGAUCCCAUUAGAACUUUGCAGUUAAGCACACUCAUGCUAGAGUAGUACUGGGAUGGGUGAUCGCCCAAGAAUUCCUAGUGUUUUAU